UAGUUUGAUCCUGGCUCAGGACGAACGCUGGCGGCGCGCUUAACACAUGCAAGUCGAGCGAGAACCAGGGCUUCGGCCCUGGGGACAGCGGCGAACGGGUGAGUAACACGUGGGUAAUCUGCCCUCGGUUCUGGGAUAGCCCGGGGAAACCCGGAUUAAUACCGGAUGGCCUUUCGUGCUUUCGAGUGCAAAAGAAAAGGUAGCUUUGGCCUCUGACCGAGGAUGAGCCCGCGGCCGAUUAGCUUGUUGGCGGGGUAAUGGCCCACCAAGGCGACGAUCGGUAGCUGGUCUGAGAGGACGAUCACCCACACUGGGACUGAGACACGGCCCACACUCCUACGGGAGGCAGCAGUGGGGAAUCUUGCACAAUGGGCGAAAGCCUGACGCAGCGACGCCGCGUGAGGGAAGAAGGCCUUCGGGUUGUAAACCUCUUUCAGGAGGGACGAACCCACUCGGGUUAAUAGCCCAGAGGGUGACGGUACCUCCAGAAGAAGCCCCGGCUAACUACGUGCCAGCAGCCGCGGUAAUACGUAGGGGGCCAGCGUUGUCCGGAUUUAUUGGGCGUAAAGAGCGUGUAGGCGGCCAGGUAGGUCUGGUGUGAAAACUCGAGGCUCAACCUCGAGAUGUCAUCGGAAACCAUCUGGCUAGAGUCCGGAAGAGGAGAGUGGAAUUCCUGGUGUAGCGGUGAAAUGCGC
rnacentral:rRNA from 1 species